rnacentral:rRNA from 1 species
CGGCACGGGUGAGUAACACGUAUGCAAUCCACCUGUAACAGGGGGAUAACCCGGAGAAAUCCGGACUAAUACCCCAUAAUAUGGGCGCUCCGCAUGGAGAGCCCAUUAAAGAGAGCAAUUUUGGUUACAGACGAGCAUGCGCUCCAUUAGCCAGUUGGCGGGGUAACGGCCCACCAAAGCGACGAUGGAUAGGGGUUCUGAGAGGAGGGUCCCCCACAUUGGAACUGAGACACGGUCCAA